rnacentral:rRNA from 1 species
UGCAGUCGAGUGCGCGCCUGUAGCAAUACAGGUGGCGCACGGCGCACGGGUGCGUAACACGUGGGUAAUCUGCCCUUCGAUGGGGAAUAACCUCGCGAAAGCGAGGCUAAUUCCGCAUAACAUUCCGAGAACCUCGGUUUUUGGAUUCAAAGGCGUAAGUCGUCGGAGGAGGAGCCCGCGCACGAUUAGCUAGUUGGUAGGGUAAUGGCCUACCAAGGCUAUGAUCGUUAGCUGGUCUGAGAGGAUGGCCAGCCACACUGGAACUGAGACACCGUCCAGACUCCUACGGGAGGCAGCAGUGGGGAAUCUUGCACAAUGGGCGAAAGCCUGAUGCAGCGACGCCGCGUGGGGGAUGAAGCUUCUCGGAGUGUAAACCCCUUUCGACCCGGACGAAUGCCCCGCAAGGGGACUGACGGUACGGGUAUAAGAAGCCCCGGCUAACUACGUGCCAGCAGCCGCGGUAAGACGUAGGGGGCCAGCGUUGCUCGGAAUUACUGGGUGUAAAGGGUUCGUAGGCGGUGUAGCAAGUUGGGAGUGAAAUCUCUGGGCUCAACCCAGAGGCUGCUUCCAAAACUGCUGUGCUUGAGUGUGGGAGAGGCGCGUGGAAUUGCAGGUGUAGCGGUGAAAUGCGUAGAUAUCUGCAGGAACACCCGUGGCGAAAGCGGCGCGCUGGACCACUACUGACGCUGAGGAACGAAAGCUAGGGGAGCAAACAGGAUUAGAUACCCUGGUAGUCCUAGCCCUAAACGAUCAGGACUUGGGGUGCCACCCGUUCGGGUGUCGUCCCGGAGCUAACGCGUUAAGUCCUGCACCUGGGGAGUACGGUAGCAAGACUGAAACUCAAAGGAAUUGACGGGGGCCCGCACAAGCGGUGGAACAUGUG